rnacentral:rRNA from 1 species
UACGGAGGGUGCAAGCGUUAUCCGGAUUCACUGGGUUUAAAGGGUGCGUAGGCGGGUUUGUAAGUCAGUGGUGAAAUCCCCGAGCUUAACUUGGGAACUGCCAUUGAUACUGCAGAUCUUGAAUUUUCUGGAGGUAAGCGGAAUAUGUCAUGUAGCGGUGAAAUGCUUAGAUAUGACAUAGAACACCCAUUGCGAAGGCAGCUUACUACGGGAAUAUUGACGCUGAGGCACGAAAGCGUGGGGAUCAAACAGG